GGAGGAGAAGAAACUAACCAGGAUUUCCCUAGUAACGGCGAGCGAACCGGAAAGAGCCCAGCUUGAAAAUCGUGGUGCCUCGCAUCUCGAAUUGUAGUCUGGAGAAGGUCCCUCUGCGACGCGCCGGACCCAAGUUCCCUGGAAAGGGACGUCAUCGAGGGUGACAACCCCGUCCGCGCCCGGAACGCGUCGCUCCACGAGGACCUGUCUGCGAGUCGGGCUGUUUGGGAAUGCAGCCCUAAGCGGGAGGUAAAUUCCUUCCAAGGCUAAAUAUGGGCAAGAGACCGAUAGCGAACAAGUACCGCGAGGGAAAGAUGAAAAGGACUUUGAAAAGAGAGUUAAAAAGUGCUUGAAAUUGCUGGGAGGGAAGCGAAUGGAAGCUGCGGGUGCGCCCCGGUUGGAUGUGGAACGGCUUCGGCUGGUCCGCCGCUCAACGCGGGGCGCUGGUCAGCGUGGGCCACGGCGCCGGGACAAGAGCGGGGAUUCGCUUCCCGCCUAUGCCGGUGCGGUGGCCGAGGCACGAAGCGCGCGCCGCAAGGCGUGGGUUCGCCCAACUGCGCGCUCGGGACGCUGGCGUAUUGAGCUCUUCAUCCGACCCGUCUUGAAACACGGACCAAGGAGUCUAACAUGUAUGCGAGCCGGUGGGCGGCAAACCCAUUGAGGCGCAAGUAAACUGACAGGUGGGACCCCGACCGUGAGGGAGGGAGCACCAUCGACCGACCGUGAUCUUCUGUGAAAGGUUUGAGUGUGAGCAUACCUGUUGGGACCCGAAAGAUGGUGAACUAUGCCUGAGCAGGGCGAAGCCAGAGGAAACUCUGGUGGAGGCUCGUAGCGAUACUGACGUGCAAAUCGUUCGUCAGACUUGGGUAUAGGGGCGAAAGACUAAUCGAACCAUCUAGUAGCUGGUUCCCUCCGAAGUUUCCCUCAGGAUAGCUGGAGCUCGUGUACAAGUUUUAUCAGGUAAAGCGAAUGAUUAGAGGCAUCGGGGGUGUAACACCCUCGACCUAUUCUCAAACUUUAAAUAGGUAAGCCGCCGGGGUUGCUUGGUUGAACCCCGGCACAGAAUGAGAGCUCCAAGUGGGCCAU
rnacentral:rRNA from 1 species